ACGGGGGGUGCGAGCGUUGUCCGGAAUCACUGGGCGUAAAGGGCGCGUAGGUGGUCUGAUAAGGGUGUGGUGAAAGCCCGGGGCUCAACCCCGGGUCGGCCGUGCCGACUGUUGGACUAGAGUGCUGUAGGGGCAGGCGGAAUUCCGGGUGUAGCGGUGGAAUGCGUAGAGAUCCGGAGGAAGACCGGUGGCGAAGGCGGCCUGCUGGGCAGUUACUGACACUGAGGCGCGACAGCGUGGGGAGCAAACAGGA
rnacentral:rRNA from 1 species